AACGAACGCUGGCGGCAGGCCUAACACAUGCAAGUCGAGCGCCCUUUCGGGGGAGCGGCGGACGGGUGAGUAACGCGUGGGAAUAUGCCCUUCUCUACGGAAUAGCCUCGGGAAACUGAGAGUAAUACCGUAUACGCCCUAUGGGGGAAAGAUUUAUCGGGGAAGGAUUAGCCCGCGUUGGAUUAGGUAGUUGGUGGGGUAAUGGCCUACCAAGCCGACGAUCCAUAGCUGGUUUGAGAGGAUGAUCAGCCACACUGGGACUGAGACACGGCCCAGACUCCUACGGGAGGCAGCAGUGGGGAAUCUUAGACAAUGGGGGCAACCCUGAUCUAGCCAUGCUGCGUGAGUGAUGAAGGCCUUAGGGUUGUAAAGCUCUUUCAGCUGGGAAGAUAAUGACGGUACCAGCAGAAGAAGCCCCGGCUAACUCCGUG
rnacentral:rRNA from 1 species